AAAGGAUGAUCAGUCACACUGGAACUGACCCAGGAUCAAAUCUUGAACGGGAGGCAGCAGUGGGGAAUAUUGGACAAUGGGCGAAAGCCUGAUCCAGCCAUGCCGCGUGUGUGAAGAAGGUCUUCGGAUUGUAAAGCACUUUAAGUUGGGAGGAAGGGUUGUAGAUUAAUACUCUGCUAUUUUGACGUUACCGACAGAAUAAGCACCGGCUAACUCUGUGCCAGCAGCCGCGGUAAUACAGAGGGUGCAAGCGUUAAUCGGAAUUACUGGGCGUAAAGCGCGCGUAGGUGGUUUGUUAAGUUGGAUGUGAAAGCCCCGGGCUCAACCUGGG
rnacentral:rRNA from 1 species